GAUGAACGCUAGCGGCAGGCUUAAUACAUGAAAGUCGAGGGAAAGCACAGGUAGACAAACUGGGUGGUAACCGACAAACGGGGGCGGAACACGUACACAACCACCCUUUAAAACACGGAUAGCCCCAGGUAAUUUGGAUAAGUACCCCGUAAGCCAGGGUAAUGGCAUCAUUACAUUAUUGUCACACAGGCGCUUAAUGAUGGGUGUGCGGAUGAUUAGAUAGUUGGCGGGGUAACGGCCCACCAAGUCUACGAUCAGUUUCGUAUGUGAGAGCAUGAUCAGCCACACGGGUCCUGAGACACGGGCCCGACUCCUACGGGAGGCAGCAGUAAGGAAUAUGGGUCAAUGGACGCAAGUCUGAACCAGCCAUGCCGCGUGAAGGAUUAAGGUCCUCUGGAUUGUAAACUUCUUUUAUUUGGGACGAAAAAGGGCCUUUCUAGGUCAUCUGACGGUACAAGAUGAAUAAGCCCCGGCUAACUCCGUGCCAGCCGCCGCCGUAAUAC
rnacentral:rRNA from 1 species